AGGACGAACGCUGGCGGCGUGCUUAACACAUGCAAGUCGAACGGAAAGGCCCUUCGGGGUACUCGAGUGGCGAACGGGUGAGUAACACGUGGGUGAUCUGCCCUGCACUUUGGGAUAAGCCUGGGAAACUGGGUCUAAUACCGAAUACACCCCUCUGAUCGCAUGGUUGGUGGGGGAAAGCUUUUGCGGUGUGGGAUGGGCCCGCGGCCUAUCAGCUUGUUGGUGGGGUGAUGGCCUACCAAGGCGACGACGGGUAGCCGGCCUGAGAGGGUGUCCGGCCACACUGGGACUGAGAUACGGCCCAGACUCCUACGGGAGGCAGCAGUGGGGAAUAUUGCACAAUGGGCGCAAGCCUGAUGCAGCGACGCCGCGUGGGGGAUGACGGCCUCGGUUGUAAACCUCUUUCUAGCACAGACGAAGCGCAAGUGACGGUAUGUGCAGAGAAGCACCGGCCAACUACGUGCCAGCAGCCGC
rnacentral:rRNA from 1 species